UAGGGUUUAGUUUAGUGUUAGGGUUAUGGUUAGGGAUCAGGUUUAGGGGUUAAGGUUCGGUUUUAGGGUUUAGUGUUAGAGUUUAGGGUCAGGGUCAGUGUUUAGUGUCAGGGUCAGGGUUUAGGGUCAGGGUCAGGUUUAGGGUCAUGGUCAGGGUUAGGGUCAUGGUCAUGGUUAAGGGUCAUGGUCAGGGUUUAGGGUCAGGGUCAGGGUUAGGGAUUAUUGUCAGGAUUAAGUUUAGGGUUUGUUUUGGGGUUAGGGUUUAGGGUUUAGGGUUAGAGUUUGGGUAAGUUUAGGGCCACGGAUUAGGGCUGGGGUUAGGGUUUAGUGUUUAGUGUUAGAGUUUAGGUUAGGGUCAGGGUUAGAGGUUAGUGUCAGGGUUAGGUUUAGGUUUUGUUUUUGUGUUAGGGUUUAGGGUUAGGGUUUGGGUAAGGUUAGGGCUACGGGUUAGGGCUGGGGUUAGGGUUUAGUGUUUAGUGUUAGAGUUUAGGGUCAGGGUCAGGGUUAGGGGUUAGUGUCAGGGUUAGGUUUAGGGUUAGGAUUUUGGGUUUAGGGUUAGGGUUAGGGGUUAGGGUUGGGGCUAGGGCUAGGGCUUGGUGUUAAGGCUAGGUGUAGGGCUAGGGUUUUAGGGCUAGAGUUUAGGGUUAGGGUUAGGGUUUGGGUUAGGCUUAGGGUUUUGGGUUAGGCUUAGGUUUAGGGUUAGGCUUUAGGGUUAGGGUUUAUGGUUAGGGUUAGGGUUUAGGGUUUGGGGUUAGGGUUAGCGGUUAGGGUUAGGUUUAGUGUUCUGGGUUAGGGUUAGGUUUAAUGUUUAGGGUUAGGUUUUAGGGUUUGGGUUAGUGUUAGAGUUAGGGCUAGGGCUAGGACUUGGGGUGGUGUCUACGGCUAGGGCUAGUGAUAGUGUUUGGGUUUAGUGUUCGGGUUAGGGUUCAGGUUAGGCUUCGGGUUAGGCUUCAGUUUCGGGUUUUGGGUAAGGGUUAUGGUUAGGUUCAGGGCUAUUGUAAGGGUUAGGUUUAGGGUUAAAUGUGGACUAGCGUUAUGCUUAGAGUUAGGUUUAAGAUUAGGGUUUGGGUUAGAUUUAGAUUUAGGGUUAUGUUUCGGGUUCGGGUUUGGAUGAAGUUUAGGAUAUGGUGAGGGUUAUUUUUAGGAUUAGGGCUAGAGUUUGGGUUUGUGUUCUGGUUAGUGUUAAGGUUAGGUUUAGGGUUCGGAUUAGGGUUAGGAGUUAUGUUUGGAGUUAGGGUUACGUUUAGGUUUAGGGUUUGUGUGAAGUUUAGGUUAAGGGUGAGGGUUACAGUUAGGGUUAGGGUAAGGGUGAGGGUUAUUGUCAGAGUUAUUGUAAGGGUUAGGUUUAGGGUAUUACAGGUGGGCCAAGGUUAAGGUUAGGGUUAGAUUUAGCGGUAGGAUUAGGGUUAAAAUUAGGGUGAGCUCUAGGUUAGGGAUAGGGUGAAGUUUAAGAUAGGGUGAGGGUUAGGGUUAGGGUUAUGGCUGAGGUUUGGGUUGUUUAGGGUUAGGGUUAAGUUUACGGGUUCUGUUUAGUUUUAGGGAUAACGUUAGAUUUUAGGUUAGGGUUAAGUUUAGUGUUACGGUUAGGGUUAGGGUCGCGGUUUUGUGUUAGGCGUUGUGGUUGGGAUGAGGGUUAGGUUUAGGGUUAGGGUUCGGUAGGGUUAGGAUUAUGGUUAUGGUAAGGUGUUAGGUGUUAGAGUUUUAGUUUAGGGUUAGGGUUUGGGUGAGGGUUCCAGUUAGUCAUUGUGGUUCUGGUCAUGCUUAUUUUUGGUUUAGGGUUAGGGUUAGGUUUAUGAUUAGGUUUAGGGUUAGUGUUAGAGUUAGGGAGAGAGUGAGGGUUAAUGUUUGGGUUAGGCUUUGGUGUUAGGCGUUAAGGUUUGGGUUAGGGUUAUCGUUAGGGCUUAGGGGUUCAGGUUAGUGUUAGGGUUAGGGUUAGGGAUAGCAUUAGGGUUAGGGUUGGGGGAUAGGGUUAGGGGUUAGUGUGAGGGUUAUGGUUAUGGUUUUACAGUUAAGGUGAGGGUUUAGGGGAAGUCUUAUGUUUAGGGUUAGAGUUAGGGUUAGGGUUAGAUGUAGCGUAAGAUUUCAGUUUAGGUUCAGGUUUUGAAUUAUAGUUAGUGUUCUAUUUAGGAUUAAGGUGAGAGUUAGGGUUAGGGUUAGGAUUAGGUCUACGGUUAGGAUUAGGACUAGGUCUAGGGUUAGGUUCAGGGCUAAUGUAAGGCUUAGUUUUAGGGUUACAGGUGGAGUAGCGUUAUGAUUAGAGUUUGGCUUAAGGGUAGGAUUUGGGUUAGGUUUAGGUUUAGGGUUAAGGUUAAGGUUAGGGUUGGAUGAAGUUUAGGAUGGGGUGAGGGUUAUUCUUAUGGUUAGGUCUAAUGUUUGAUUUUGUGUUCAGCUUAGUGUUAAGGUUAGGUUUAGGGUUCGGGUUAGGGUUAGGUGUUAUGUUUAGGGUUAGUGUUAGGUUUAGGUUCAGGGUUAGAGUGACAUUUAGGUUCAGGGUGAGGGUUAAGAUAAGGGUUAGGAUAACGGUGAGGAUUAUACUUAAUGUUAGAAGUUAGGUUUAGGGUGUUAGGGUUAGGUUCAUGGUUAGGGUAGGGUCAAGUUUAGGGUUAAUGGUAGGGUUAGUGUUAGAUUAGGGUUACUGUUCGUGUUUGGGUUAGGGUUAGGGAUAAGUUUAGGGAUAAGUUUAGGGAUAGCAUUCGGUUUAGGGUUGGGGAUACGGUUAGGGGUUAGGGUGAGGGUUAGGGUUAGGUUUACAGUUAAAGUGAGGGUUUAGGGUAAGUGUCAUGGUUAGGGUUAGAGUUAGGGUUAGGGUUAGGGUGAAUUUUCAGUUAAUAGUGAGGGUUAAGGUAAGGGUUAGGGUUAGGGUUAGGGUUAGAGUUAGGAUUAAUAUUAGUGUUAGGGUUAGGAUUAGGGUUAGGGUUAGGGUUAGGGUAAGGGUAAGGUUAGGGUUAAGGCUAGGUUUACGGUCAUGGGUAGGGCUAGGUUAAGGUUAGGUUUAGAGUUAGAGUUAGGGCUAGGGUUUACUGUUAGGGUUAGGGUCAGGUUUAGAGUUAUUGUUAGGGUUAGGGUUAGGGUAGAGUUAAGGUUAGGGUUAAGUUUAGGGUUAGGUUUAGGGUUACGUUUAGGUCAGGGUUAGGGUUAGGAUUAGGGAUAGGGUUAGGUUUAGGGAAAGGGUUAGGGUUCGUGUGAGGGUUAGUGUUAGGUUUACAGUUAAGCUGAUGUUUUACGGUGUUACAGUUAGGGUCAGUCUUAGAGUUAGGGUUAGGUUUAGGUUUAGGGCUAGAGUGAGGGGAUAGUUUACAGUUCGGUUUAGUUUUAGGGUUAGGCUUAGGUUUAGGGUGAAGGUUAAGAUUAGGUUUAGGGUAAAUAUUAGAGUUAGGUGUUUGGGUUACGGUUAGGAUCAGGUUAGGGUUUCGUUUACGGUUUGUGUUAGGGUUAGGUUUUGGUGUUUGGGUUAAUGUUAGGGUCAGGUUUAGUGUUAGCUUUAGGGUUAGGGUUUGGUUUAGCAUUAGGUUUAUUGUGAAGUUUAAGUUAAGGGUGAGGGUUGAGCUUAGGGUUAGUGUUAGGGGUUAGAGUUAGGGUUAAGGUUAGGAUUAGGUUUAGGAUUAAGUUUAGUUUUAGGGUUAGGGUAAGUGUUAGGUUUAAGUCAUGGUUAGGUUUAGGGCUAGGUUAAGGUUAGAGAUAAGGUUAGGUUAAGGGUAGGGUUUAGGUUUAGAUGUUAGCGUGAGGGUUAGUGCCAGGUUUCCAUUUAAGCUGAGUGUGUAGUGUAAGUUUUACGGUUAGGAUUAGGGUUAGAGAUAGAGUUAGGUUCAGGGUUAGGGUUAGGUUUAUGGUUAGGAUGAGGGUUAGGGUUAGAGUUGGGGGAGAUUUAGUAUUAUGUUUAGUUUUAGGUUUAGAGUUAGGGUGAAGUUUAUGUUAAGUGUGAGGGUUAGAGUUAGGGUUAGGGGUUAGGGUUCCGGUUACGGUCAGGGUUAGGGUUUGGGUUAGGUUUAAUUUUAGGGUUAGGGUUUAAGUUAGGUUUAGGGUUAGCUUUAGUUUUGGUUAGGGUUAGGAUUUGAAUGAAGUUAGGGUAGGUUUAGGGUUAUGGGUAGGGUGACAUUUUGGUUAGAGUUAUUGUUAGGGGUUAGGGUUAGGUUUGAGUUUAUGGUAGGGUUAAAGUUAGGGUUAAGGUUAGGUUAGGGUUAUGGUCAGGGUUAGGAUUAGGUUUAGGAUGAGGGUUAAGAUCAGAGUUAUUGUAAGGGUUAGUUUUAGGGUUAGGGUUAGGGUUAUGGCUAAGGUUUGGUUUAGUUUUCAGGUUAGUGUUAAGGUUGUGUUUCGUGUUAGGGUUAAGUUUACGGGUUCUGUUUAGUUUUAGGGUUUGGGUUAGAUUUUAGGUUAGGGUUAAGUUUAGUGUUAUGGUUAGGGUUAGGGUUAGGGUUACUUUUUGUGUUAGGCGUUGUGGUUGGGGUGAGGUUUAGGUUUAGGGUUAGGUUUGGGUAGGGUUAGGAUUAUGGUUACGGUAAGGUGUUAGGAUUUAGAGGUGUAGUUUAGGGUUAGGGUUUGGGUGAGGGUUCCGGUUAGGCAUUGUGGUUCUGGUCAUGGUUAGAUUUGGUUUAGGGUUUGGGUUAGGUUUAUGAUUAUUUUUAGUGUUAGUGUUCGAGUUAGUUUGAGAAUUACUUUUAAGGUUAGGGUUAGGCUUUGGUGUUACGGGUUAGGUUUUGGGUUAGGGUUAGGGUUAUCGUUAGGGCUUAGGGGUUCAGGUUAGUGUUAGGGUUAGGGUUAGGGACAGCAUUAGGGUUAGGGUUGGGGAUACGGUUAUGGGUUCGAGUGAGGGUUAUGGUUAGUUUUACAGUUAAGGUGAGGGUUUAGGAUAAGUGUUCCGAUUAGGGUUAGACAUAGAGUUAGGGUUAGGUUUACGGUUAAGGUUAGGUGUAGGAUAAGAUUUAGGUUUAGGGUUAGUGUUAGUGUUCUAUUUAGGGUCAAGGUUAGAGUUCGGGUUAGGGUUAGGAUUAGGUCUUGUGUUAGGAUUAGGUUUCGGAUUAGGCUCAGGACUAUUUUAAGGUUUAGGUUUAGGGUUACAGUUGGACUAGCAUUAUGGUUAGAGUUAGAUUUAAUGUUAGGGUUUGUGUUAGGUUUAGGUUUAGGUCUAAAGUUAGCGUUAGGGUUUGGAUGAAGUUUAGGAUAGGGCGAGGGUUAUUUUUAGGGUUAGGGCUAGAAUCUGGGUUUGUGUUCAGGUUAGUGCUAAAGGUUACGUUUAGGGUUCAGGUUAGGGUUAGUGUUUAUGUUUAGAUUAGGUGUAGGGUUAGGGUUAUUGUGAGGUUUAGUUUAAUGGUGAGGGUUAGGAUAAGGGUUUGGAUUAGGGUUAGGAUUAUAGUUAGUGUUAGAGGUUAGGUUUAGGGUGUUAGGGUUAGGUUUAUGGUUAGGGAAGGGUUAAGUUUAGGGUUAAUAUUAGAUUUGGGUUACUGUUCACGUUAGGGUUAGGGUUAGGGAUAAUGUGAGGGAUAGAUAGCGUUAGGUUUAGGGUUGGGGAUACGGUUAAGGGUUAGGGUGAGGGUUAGCUUUAGGCUUCCAUUUAUGGUGAGGGUUUAGGGUAAUUGUUAUGGUUAGGGUUAGAGUUACAGUUAGGCUUAGGGUUAGGGUGAAGUUUCAGUUAAUAGUCAGUGUUAGGGUUAAAGUUACAGUUAUGGUUAAGGUUAGUGUUAGGUUUAGGUUUAGGGUUAGGUUUAGGGUAGGGGUAAGGUUAGGGUUAAGGCUAGGUUUACUGUAAAGGGUAGGGCUAGGUUAGGGUUAGGGUUAGGUUUAGAGUUAGAGUUAGUUCUAGGGUUUAGAGUUAGGGUUAGGGUUAGGGUCAGGGUUAGAGUUAUUGUUAGGGUUAGGGUUAAGGUAGAGUUAAUGUUAGUGUUAAGUUUACGGUUAGGGUAAGGGUUAGGAUUGGGUCAGGGUUAAGGUUAGGAUUAGGGUUAGGAAAAGGGUUAGGGUUUCUUGUGAUGGUUAGUGUUAGGUUUACAGUUAAGCUGAUGUUUUAGGACGUUACGGUUAGGGGUAGGGUUAGAGUUAGGGUUAGGGUUAGGUGUAGGGAUAGGGCUAGAGUGAGGGGAUAGUUUAGGGUUAGGUUUAGUUUCAGGGUUAGGCUUAGGCUUACGUUUAGGGUGAAGUAUAGGUUAAGGAUGAGGGUUAGGGUCAGUGUUAGGGUUAUGUGUUUGCAUUAAGUUUCGGGUCAGGUUAAGGUUAGAUUAAGGUUAGGGUUAGUGUUAGGGUUCGGUUUAUGUGUUUGGGUUACUGUUAGGGUCAGGUUUAGGGUUAGGGUUAGGAUUCUGUUUAGGGUUAAGUUUAGGGUGCAGUUAAAGUUAAGGGUGAGGGUUGAGCUUAGGGUUAGUGUUAGGGUUAAGGUUAGGAUUAGGUUUACGGUUAAGUUUAGGUUUAUGGUUAGGUUUAGAGUACGUGUUAGGGUUAAUUCACUGUUAGGUUUAGGGCUAGGUUAAGGUUAGAGAUAAGGUUAGGUUAAGGGUUGGGGUUAGGUUUAGAUGUUAGGGUGAGGGUUAGUUCUAGGUUUCCAUUUAAGCUGAGUGUGUAGGGUAAGUUUUAGGGUUAGGAUUAGGGUUAGAGUUUGAGUUAGGGUCAGGUUUGGGUUAAGUUUAGGGUUACUGUUUGGUUUAUGGUUAGGAUUAGGGUUAGGGCCAGGGUUGGGGGAGAUUUAGUGUUAUGUUUAUUUUUAGGGUUAGAGUUAGGGUGAAGUUCAUGUUAAGCGUGAGGGUUAGGGUUAGGGGUUAGGGUUCAGGUUAGGGUCCGGGUUAGGGUUGGGUUUACGUUUUGGGUUAGGGUUAGGUUUAGGUUUAGUUUUAGUUUUGGUUAGGGUAAGGGUUUGAAUGAAGUUAGGGUAGGUUUAGGGUUAUGGUUUUGGGUGAAAUUUUGGUUAAGAGUGAGGGUUCGGUUUAGGGUUAGUGGUUAGUGUUAGGUUUAGGGUUAAGGUUAGUUUAGUCUAAGGAUUAGGGUUAGAGUUAGGGUUAGGGAUUAGUGUUUCAGUUAGGUUUACGGUAGGGUUAUAUUUAGGGUUAAGUUUAGGGUUAGAGUAAGAGUUAGAGUUAUGUUUACAGUUAAGGUGAGGGUUUUGGGUAAGUGUUAUGGUUAGGGUUAGGGUUAGGGCUAGUGUUAGGGUUAGAAUUAGAGUUAGGGGUUAGGGUUUGAUUUAAGUUUAUGGUAUGGUUAAGGUUAGGUUAAGGUUAGGAUUAGAAUUAGGUUUAGGGUGAGGGAUAUGGUCAGAGUUAUUGUAAGGGUUUGGAUUAGGGUUAAAGGUUGGCCAAGGUUAAGGUUAGGUUUAGGUUUAGGGUAGGUUUAAGUUUAUGGUAGGGUUAAAGUUAGGGUUAAGGUUAGGUUAGGGUUUGGUUCAGGGUUAGGAUUAGGAUUAGGUUUAGGGUGAGGUUUAGGGUCAGAGUUAUUGUAAAGUUUAGGUUUAGGGUUACAGGUAGGCCAAGGUUAAGUGUAGGGUUAGGUUUAGGGUUAGGGUUCAGGUUAAAGUUAGGGUUAGCUUUAGGUUAGGGAUAGGGUGAAGUUUUAGAUAGCGUGACGGUUAGGGUUAUGGCUAACGUUUGGGUUCGUUUUCAGGUUAGUGUUAAGGUUAUGUUUAGGUUUAGGGUUAAGUUUAGGGGUUCUGUUUAGUUUUAGGGAUAAGGUUAGAUUUUAGGUUAGGGUUAUGUUUAGUGUUACGGUUAGGGUGAGGGUUAGGAUUUGUGUUAGGCGUUGUGGUUGGAGUUAGGGCUAGGUUUAGGGUUAGGGUUGUGUAGGUUUAGGAUUAUGGUUAUGGUAAGGUGUUAGGGGUUAGAGGUGUGGUUUAGGGUUGGGGUUUGGGUGAGGUUUCCAGUUAGGCAUUGUGGUUCUGGUUAUGCUUAGGUUUGGUUUAGGGUUAGGGUUAGGCUUAUGAUUAAGUUUUAGGUUACUGUUAGAGUUAGGGUGAUAGUUAGGGUUAAAGUUUGGGUUAGGCUUUGGUGUUAGGGGUUAGGGUUUGAGUUAGGGUUAGGGUUAUUGUUAGCGCUUAGGGGUUCAGGUUAGUGUUAGGGUUAGGAUUAGGGAUAGCAUUAGGGUUAGGGCUGGGGGAUUCGGUUAGGGGUUAGAGUGAGGCUUAAGGUUAGUUUUACACUUAAGGUCAGGGUUUAGGGUACCUGGUAUGAUUAGGGUUAGAGUUAGUGUUAGGGUUAAGUUUAGCGUUAGGAUUAGGUGUAAGGUAAGAUUUCGGUUUAGUUUCAGGUUCAGGGUGAGAGUUAGUGUUCUACUUAGUUUCAAGGUUAGAGUUAGGGUUAGGGUUAGGAGUAGGUCUAGUGUUAGGUUUAGGAUUAGGUUUAGGGUUAGGUUCCGGGCUAUUGUAAGGCUUAGGUUUAGGGUUACAGGUGGACUAGUGUUCUGGUUAGAGUUAGGUUUAAAUUUAGGGUUUGGCUUAGGUUUAGGUUUAGGGUUAGGGCUAGAGUUUGAUUAUGUGUUCAGGUGAGUGUUAAGGUUAGGUUUAGGGUCCAGGUUAGGGUUAGGGAUUAUGUUUAGGGUUAGAGUUAGGUUUAGGAUUAUUAUGAAGUUUAGGUUAAGGGUGAGGGUUAGGAUUAUAGUUAGUGUUAGAGGUUAGGUUUAGGGUAUUAGGGUUAGGUUUAUGGUUAGGGUAGCGUUAAGUUUAGGGUUAAUGUUAGAGUUAGUGUAGAGUUAUGGUUAGGGUUAGGGUAAGGGUUAGGUUUAGGUUAUGUUUAGGGUUAAAAUUAGGGACAGGGUUAGGGUCAGGGGUUCGUGUGAGGGUUAGUCUUAGGUUUACACUUACGGUGAUGUUUUAGGGUGUUUUGGUUAGGGUUAGGGUCAGAGUUAGGGUUAGGGGGUUAGGUUUAGGGCUAGAGUUAGGGGAUAGUUUAGGGUUAGGUUUAGUUUUAGGGUUAGGUGUUUGGGUUAAGGUUAGGGUCAGGUUAGGGUUAGGGCUAGGCUUAGGGUUAGGCUUACUGUUAGGGUUAGGUGUUUGGGUUAAUGUUAGGGUCAGGUUUAGGGUUAGGAUUAGGAUUCGGUUUAGGGUUAGGGUUACGUAUAGGGUGAAGUUGAACUUAACGGUGAGGGUUGAGCUUAGGGUUAGCGUUAGGGGUUAGCGUUAGGGUUGAGUUUAGGAUUAGAUUUAGGGUUAGGGUUAGGGUAUGUGUUAGGAUUAAGUUAUGGUUAGGUGUAGGACUAGGAUAAGUUUAGAGGUAGGAUUAGGUGAAGGGUUGGGUUUAGGUUUAGAUGUUAGAGUGAGGGUUAGUGCUAGGUUUCCAUUUAAGCUGAGUGUGUAGGGUAAGUUUUAGGGUUAGGAUUAGGGUUAGAGUUAGGGUCAGGGUUAGGGUUAAGUUUAGGGUUAGGAUUAGGUUUAUGGUUAAGAUUAGGGUUAAGGUCAGGGUUAGGGGGAGAUUUAGUGUUAUGUUUAGUUUUAGGGUUAGGGUUAAGGUGAAGUUUAUGUUAAGCGUGAGCGUUAGAGUUAGGGUUAGGGUUUAGGGUUCAGGUUAGGGUCAGGGGUAGGGGUAGGGUUAAGUUUAGCGUUUGUUUUAGUUUUGAUUAAGGUUAGGGUUUGAAUAAAAUUAGGGUAGUUUUAAGGUUAUGGUUAGGGUGAAAUUUUGGUUAAGGGUGAGAGUUCGGUUUAAGGUUAGGGUUAAGGUUAGAGUUAGGGCUAGUGGUUAGGGUUGGGUUUAGGGUUAAGAUUAGAUUUAGGCUAAGGAUUAGGGUUAGAGGUAAGUGUUUUCGUUAGGUUUAGGGUAGACUUAUAUUUAGGGUGAAGUUUAGGUUUAGCGUAAUAAUUAGAGUUACGUUUACAGUUAAGGUGAGAGUUUUGGGUAUGUGUUACGUUUAGGGUUAGGGUUAGAGUUAGGGUUAGGGUUUAGGGUUAGGUUUAAUUUUAUGGUAGGGUUAACGUUAGGAUUAAGGUUAGGUUAGGGUUAGGAUAGGGUUAGGAUUAGGAUUAGGUUUAGGGUGAGGUUUAGGGUCAGAGUUAUUGUAAGGGUUAGGUUUAGGGUUACUGGUGGGCCAAGGUUAAGGUUAGGGUUAGGUUUUGGGGUAGGGUUAGGGUUAAAGUUAGUGUUAGUUUUAGCUUAGGGAUAGGGUGAAGUUUAAGAUAGGGUUAGGGUUAGGGUUAGGGUUAUGGCUAAGGUUUGGAUACGUUUUCAGGUUAGUGUUAGGGUUAUGUUUAUGUUUAGGGUUAAGUUUACGGGUUAUGUUUAUUUCUGGUUUAGGGUUAGAUUUUAGAUUAGUGUUAAGUUUAGUGUUACGGUUAGUGUUAGGUUUACGGUUUGUGUUAGGCGUUGUGGUUGGGGUGAGGGUGAGGUUUAGGGUUAGUCUUAGAGUGAGAGUGAGAGUUAGGGUUAAGGUUUGGGUUAGGCUUUGGUGUUAGGGGUUAAGUUUUGGGUUAGGGUUAGGGUUAUCGUCAGGGCUUAGGGGUUCUGGUUAGUGUUAGGGGUAGAGUUAG